rnacentral:rRNA from 1 species
CCAAUAGCGUAUAUUAAAGUUGUUGCAGUUAAAAAGCUCGUAGUUGAAUUUCGGGAUCAGUGGGUCGGUCGUGCCACUGGUAUGCACUGGCCCUACUGGUUCCUCCUUCUUGAAGAACUGUAAUGCCAUUAAUUUGGUGUUGCAGGGAAACAGGACUGUUACUUUGAAAAAAUUAGAGUGUUUAAAGCAGGCAAUCGCUUGAAUACAUUAGCAUGGAAUAAUGAAAUAGGACGAUCGAUCCUAUUUUGUUGGUUUCUAGGAUUGACGUAAUGAUUAAUAGGGAUAGUUGGGGGCAUUAGUAUUCAAUUGUCAGAGGUGAAAUUCUUGGAUUUAUUGAAGACUAACUACUGCGAAAGCAUUUGCCAAGGAUGUUUUCAUUAAUCAAGAACGAAAGUUAGGGGAUCGAAGACGAUCAGAUACCGUCGUAGUCUUAACCAUAAACUAUGCCGACUAGGGAUCGGAUGAUGUUAAUUUUUUAAUGACUCAUUCGGCGCCUUAC